rnacentral:rRNA from 1 species
UAGGGAAUAUUGGACAAUGGGCGCAAGCCUGAUCCAGCCAUGCCGCGUGAGUGAUGAAGGCCUUAGGGUUGUAAAGCUCUUUNNUCAGGGACGAUAAUGACGGUACCNGAAGAAGAAGCCCCGGCUAACUUNNUGCCAGCAGCCGCGGUAAUACGAGGGGGGCAAGCGUUGUUCGGAAUUAUUGGGCGUAAAGGGCGCGUAGGCGGUGCGGUAAGUCACCUGUGAAAUCUCCGGGCUUAACUCGGAGUAUGCAGGCGAAACUGCCGUGCUGGAGUAUGGGAGAGGUGCGUGGAAUUCCCGGUGUAGCGGUGAAAUGNNUAGAUAUCGGGAGGAACACCNGUGGCGAAAGCGGCGCACUGGACCAUAACUGACGCUGAGGCGCGAAAGCUAGGGGAGCAAACAGGAUUAGAUACCCUGGUAGUCUUAGCCCUAAACGAUGGAUGCUUGGUGUGGCCGGUACCCAAUCCGGCUGUGCCGAAGCUAACGCGAUAAG